rnacentral:rRNA from 1 species
GACGAACGCUGGCGGCGUGCUUAACACAUGCAAGUCGAACGGUGAAGCGCCUUCCUUUUUGGUGGGUGUGGAUGAGUGGCGAACGGGUGAGUAACACGUGAGUAACCUGCCCCCUUCUUCUGGAUAACCGCAUGAAAGUGUGGCUAAUACGGGAUAUUCUGGGUCUGUCGCAUGAUGGGUCUGGGAAAGAUAUUGUUUCGGUGGGGGAUGGGCUCGCGGCCUAUCAGCUUGUUGGUGGGGUGAUGGCCUACCAAGGCGGUGACGGGUAGCCGGCCUGAGAGGGUGGACGGUCACACUGGGACUGAGACACGGCCCAGACUCCUACGGGAGGCAGCAGGGGGGAAUAUUGCACAAUGGGCGGAAGGCUGAUGCAGCGACGCCGCGUGAGGGAUGGAGGCCUUCGGGUUGUGAACCUCUUUCGCCAGUGAAGCAGGCCUGCCUCGUUUGUGGGUGGGUUGACGGUAGCUGGAUAAGAAGCGCCGGUUAACUACGUG